UUUUCCUACGGGGGGCAGCAGUAGGGAAUCUUCCACAAUGGGCGCAAGCCUGAUGGAGCAACGCCGCGUGAGUGAAGAAGUAUUUCGGUAUGUAAAGCUCUAUCAGCAGGGAAGAGAAUGACGGUACCUGAGUAAGAAGCCCCGGCUAACUACGUGCCAGCAGCCGCGGUAAUACGUAGGGGGCAAGCGUUAUCCGGAUUUACUGGGUGUAAAGGGAGCGUAGACGGCGAAGAAAGUCUGAAGUGAAAGCCCGCGGCUCAACCGCGGAACUGCUUUGGAAACUUUUUUGCUGGAGUACCGGAGAG
rnacentral:rRNA from 1 species